GACGAAUCUAUUGUCCGCCGAGCCUGGCACUUACCGGUGUCAGGGGAGGGCGGCGAAAAGAGGAAUCU
rfam:Comamonas testosteroni CNB-2, complete genome.